GCGUCGGUAGUGCAACGGUUAGCAUACGCUCUCGGAAAGAGUGAGAUCUGGGUUCGAAUCCCGACUGACGCG